rnacentral:rRNA from 1 species
UGCCAGACUCCUACGGGAGGCAGCAGUGGGGAAUAUUGCACAAUGGGGGGAACCCUGAUGCAGCGACGCCGCGUGAGUGAAGAAGUAUUUCGGUAUGUAAAGCUCUAUCAGCAGGGAAGAAAAUGACGGUACCUGACUAAGAAGCCCCGGCUAACUACGUGCCAGCAGCCGCGGUAAUACGUAGGGGGCAAGCGUUAUCCGGAUUUACUGGGUGUAAAGGGAGCGUAGACGGCAGAGCAAGUCUGAAGUGAAAGCCCGCGGCUCAACUGCGGGACUGCUUUGGAAACUGUGCAUCUUGAGUACGGGAGGGGCAGGCGGAAUUCCUGGUGUAGCGGUGAAAUGCGUAGAUAUCAGGAGGAACACCGGCGGCGAAGGCGGCCUGCUGGACCGAAACUGACGUUGAGGCUCGAAAGCGUGGGGAGCAAACAGGAUUAGAUACCCGCGUA